GUAACGCGUAUGUAACUUACCUAUAACUGAAGAAUAGCCCGAAGAAAUUCGGAUUAAUACUCCAUAAUACAAAUUUAUCUCAUGAUGAGUUUGUUAAAACUCCGGUGGUUAUAGAUAGACAUGCGUCCUAUUAGCUUGUUGGUGAGGUAACGGCUCACCAAGGCUACGAUAGGUAGGGGGUCUGAGAGGAUGAUCCCCCACACUGGUACUGAGACACGGACCAGACUCC
rnacentral:rRNA from 1 species